UGGCGGACGGGUGAGUAAUGUCUGGGAAACUGCCCGAUGGAGGGGGAUAACUACUGGAAACGGUAGCUAAUACCGCAUAACGUCGCAAGACCAAAGAGGGGGGCCUUCGGGCCUCUUGCCAUCGGAUGUGCCCAGAUGGGAUUAGCUAGUAGGUGGGGUAACGGCUCACCUAGGCGACGAUCCCUAGCUGGUCUGAGAGGAUGACCAGCCACACUGGAACUGAGACACGGUCCAG
rnacentral:rRNA from 1 species